rfam:Stegodyphus mimosarum contig17328, whole genome shotgun sequence.
ACCUUCGUGGUGUAGUGGUCAGCACGCUCGACGCGUUACCCAGAGGUCCGUGGUUCGAUUCCAGGCGAAGGCG